AGUGAACGCUGGCGGUAGGCCUAACACAUGCAAGUCGAACGGCAGCACAGUAAGAGCUUGCUCUUACGGGUGGCGAGUGGCGGACGGGUGAGGAAUACAUCGGAAUCUACUUUUUCGUGGGGGAUAACGUAGGGAAACUUACGCUAAUACCGCAUACGACCUACGGGUGAAAGCAGGGGAUCUUCGGACCUUGCGCGAUUGAAUGAGCCGAUGUCGGAUUAGCUAGUUGGCGGGGUAAAGGCCCACCAAGGCGACGAUCCGUAGCUGGUCUGAGAGGAUGAUCAGCCACACUGGAACUGAGACACGGUCCAGAUUCCUACGGGAGGCAGCAGUGGGGAAUAUGGGACAAUGGGCGCAAGCCUGAUCCAGCCAUACCGCGUGGGUGAAGAAGGCCUGCGGGUUGUAAAGCCCUUUUGUUGGGAAAGAAAAGCAGCAGGUUAAUACCCCGCUGUUCUGACGGUACCCAAAGAAUAAGCACCGGCUAACUUCGU
rnacentral:rRNA from 1 species